UGAAUACGAGACGCUAAGGCGUCGAAGUAGUGUAUGUCAUACUUCCAAGAAAAGCUUGCACUGUCAUAGAUAAAAAACGCCUGUACCAUAACCGACACAGGUGGGUAGGUAGAGUAUACUAAGGGGCGCGAGAUAACUCUCUCUAAGGAACUCGGCAAAAUAACUCCGUAACUUCGGGAGAAGGAGUGCCUUAUUCUUAAGGUUGCAAUAACAAGAUCCAAGCAACUGUUUAUCAAAAACACAGGUCUCCGCUAAGUCGUAAGACGAUGUAUGGGGGCUGACGCCUGCCCAGUGCCAGAAGGUUAAAGAAGCUGGUUAGCAAUUGCGAAGCUGGUGACUGAAGCCCUGGUGAACGGCGGCCGUAACGAUAACGGUCCUAAGGUAGCGAAAUUCCUUGUCGGGUAAGUUCCGACCCGCACGAAAGGCGUAAUGAUUUGGAUACUGUCUCGGAGAGGGGCUCGGUGAAAUAGACUUGUCUGUGAAGAUGCGGACUACCUGCACCAGGACAGAAAGACCCUAUGAAGCUUUACUGUAACUUGAAAUUGAAAUUGGACUUUAUUCGCGCAGCAUAGGUGGGAGGCGUUGAUUAUAAUCUUGCGGGAUUAUUGGAGCCAUUAGUGAGAUACCACUCUUGUAAUGUUAGAUUUCUAACUUUGAAUCAUUAUCUGGUCAAAGGACAGUUUCAGGCGGGCAGUUUGACUGGGGCGGUCGCCUCCCAAACGGUAACGGAGGCGUACAAAGGUUUCCUCUGAACGGUUAGAAAUCGUAUCUAGAGUGUAAAGGCAUAAGGAAGCUUGACUGUGAGACCUACAAGUCGAGCAGGGACGAAAGUCGGUCUUAGUGAUCUGACGGUACUGAGUGGAAAGGCCGUCACUCAACGGAUAAAAGUUACUCUAGGAUAACAGGCUGAUCUCCCCCAAGAGUUCACAUCGACGGGGAGGUUUGGCACCUCGAUGUCGGCUCAUCGCAUCCUGGGGCGGUAGUACGUCCCAAGGGUUGGGCUGUUCGCCCAUGAAAGCGGUACGCGAGCUGGGUUCAGAACGUCGUGAGACAGUUCGGUCCAUAUCCGGUGUAGGCGUUAGAAUAUUGAGAGGAGCCUUCUUUAGUACGAGAGGACCGAGAAGGACAUACCUCUGGUGUACCAGUUAUCGUGCCAACGGUAAACGCUGGGUAGCUAUGUAUGGAGUGGAUAACCGCUGAAAGCAUCUAAGUGGGAAGCCCACCUCAAGAUAAGUAUUCUCAUA
rnacentral:rRNA from 1 species